rnacentral:rRNA from 1 species
AUUGAACGCUGGCGGCAUGCCUUACACAUGCAAGUCGAACGGCAGCGGACCUUCGGGUGCCGGCGAGUGGCGAACGGGUGAGUAAUAUAUCGGAACGUACCUUUCAGUGGGGGAUAACGUAGCGAAAGUUACGCUAAUACCGCAUAUUCUGUGAGCAGGAAAGCAGGGAAUCGCAAGACCUUGCGCUGAUUGAGCGGCCGAUAUCAGAUUAGCUAGUUGGUGAGGUAAAGGCUCACCAAGGCGACGAUCUGUAGCGGGUCUGAGAGGAUGAUCCGCCACACUGGAACUGAGACGCGGUCCAGACUCCUACGGGAGGCAGCAGUGGGGAAUUUUGGACAAUGGGCGCAAGCCUGAUCCAGCCAUGCCGCGUGAGUGAAGAAGGCCUCGGUGUAAG